GCGACCCCAGGAUGGGCGAGGCCACCCGCCCAGUUUAAGCAUAUCAAUAAGCGGAGGAGAAG
rnacentral:rRNA from 1 species